GUGCUCGCUUCAGCAGCACAUAUACUAAAAUUGGAACGAUACAGAGAAGAUUAGCAUGGCCCCUGGGCAAGGAUGACGUGCAAAUUCGUAAAGCAUGCCAUAAUUUU
ensembl:snRNA Rnu6-1195 RNA, U6 small nuclear 1195